GCCGGGCGUGGUGGCUCGCGCCUGUAGUCCCAGCUACUCAGGAGGCUGAGGCACAAGAAUCGCUUGAGCCCAGGAGGCAGAGGUUGCAGUGAGCCGAGGUGGUGCCACUGCAUUCCAGCCUGGGUGACAGAGCGAGAUUCUGUCUCAA
rnacentral:sRNA from 1 species